UUAUAGACAAAUAGUAGAGGAAUCCUUUAUGUGGUGGCUUUGGCUACAUAAAGAUAUAGCGAAUAGCUGGAAAUAGC
rnacentral:sRNA from 1 species